rnacentral:rRNA from 1 species
GAUGAACGCUGGCGGCGUGCUUAACACAUGCAAGUCGAACGGUGAAGGCGGAGCUUGCUCUGCUGGAUCAGUGGCGAACGGGUGAGUAACACGUGAGCAAUCUGCCCCUGACUCUGGGAUAAGCGCUGGAAACGGCGUCUAAUACUGGAUACGAGCUGCGAAGGCAUCUUCAGCAGCUGGAAAGAACUUCGGUCAGGGAUGAGCUCGCGGCCUAUCAGCUUGUUGGUGAGGUAACGGCUCACCAAGGCGUCGACGGGUAGCCGGCCUGAGAGGGUGACCGGCCACACUGGGACUGAGACACGGCGCAGACUCCUACGGGAGGCAGCAGUGGGGAAUAUUGCACAAUGGGGGAAAGCCUGAUGCAGCAACGCCGCGUGAGGGACGACGGCCUUCGGGUUGUAAACCUCUUUUAGCAGGGAAGAAGCGAAAGUGACGGUACCUGCAGAAAAAGCGCCGGCUAACUACGUG